rnacentral:rRNA from 1 species
UACGAAGGGGGCUAGCGUUGCUCGGAUUUAUUGGGCGUAAAGAGCGUGUAGGCGGCCAGGUAGGUCCGGUGUGAAAACUCGAGGCUUAACCUCGAGAUGUCAUCGGAAACCAUUUGGCUAGAGUCCGGAAGAGGAGAGUGGAAUUCCUGGUGUAGCGGUGAAAUGCGCAGAUAUCAGGAAGAACACCAAUGGCGAAAGCAGCUCUCUGGGACGGUACUGACGCUGAGACGCGAAAGCGUGGGGAGCGAACAGG